CUUGGUGAUUAUGCUAGCAAGGGUACACCUCAUCCCAUUCCGAACUGAGAAGUUAAGCUUGCUAAGGCCGAUGGUACUUCCCGCGUUGCGGGCGGAAGAGUAGGUAGUCGCCAAGA
rnacentral:rRNA from 1 species